ensembl:lncRNA
CUGAAAAAUCCUUGGUGUGACUUCGCUCCCUCACGGAGCUGCGACAGCUGGACGGGGUUUACUUAGGCGCUGGAUUUCCCAGAGACGUGAGGAACGGAGGAAAUUAUGUUUACAGAGGGAGCGCGGUGCCCCUCGCUCAGAGGUGCUCGACCACUUUACAUCACAAAGGACCGAAAAACAGCGUGAACGCAGAGCGGACGCAUAAUAAGGCCGCUCCGCCUUUCUGCUGCUCAGGAACCAACAUUCCACCAGAGAGGCGGACGAAUGCAUACCAAUUUCACACACUCGACAGAGAAACAAAUGCUCACCAUUGGACUAAAGGUUCAUUCCGAGAAGAAGAACAUCAGUCAAAGGUGGUGCCUCUUUUUGAGCGCAGUUUUUUUUUUUUUUCUUUUUUGGCACGCGGUUGCUAUGAUACAAACCCAUCUGCACGGGUUUCACGUGAGGGCCAACCAUUCAAAACAUCACCACGCCGCGUGUCCAAGCACCGCAACGCCGCCGUCACUGUGAGCGCUCUAACGAUGGCUCUUAGAACGAGUCGGCCCGGCGGCAAAGCUUCCCCGGUGCUUUAAUCCUCCUCCUCUGAAACUGCUUUUCCUUUCUCCUUCCU